CUCUGGUCUCUCUCUGAUCUGUGGCGAUGUGUAAGUGUAUAUGCCCUUUGUGACUGUGUGUAUAUAUAUGCUUUCUCCAAGGUCUAUCAGAUGGACAAUGUAUCUCGGAUCACGGCUCAUGUCUCCAAAUAGGGCUGAAUCAGCCAACCCACGAUGUGUCUAUGGGAGCUGUAAUAUUCAGUCCGGCAUGAAUCAUCAACCAGGUCUAUGACAUCCGACCGGAGCCGACUCACCGACUCGUCUAAACAAUCUGACCGGGUCUACCUUGUUCAACCUUGGCUGAUGUCUCCAACCAGGACAUUGUAGUCAAAGUGGAUAAAGUCUACAUAUCCCAGAGAUAGUUUCUAUUUAACAUUGUAUACAUCUCAACGUAGGUUCCUAUACAUUAGCCUCAUCUGCAAGUCAUGGCUGUACAGUCCUAUCUGACGGAAUGGGACCAAUGUUGUCACUGUGACAACUUCAAGCAUGUCACCUUGGAUAGGUUUCUAGCCAUCCCACACAGAGAGCUGAGGGAUGACUACAGAACAUCUUUUGCUACACAACAUCAGAACCUGUGCGACACUCUACGAAAGGUGUUGAUGAAGAAACUACUGGUAGAUCGGAUGCAACGUACUCCACCUGCCCCAAGGACAGCACGACCCUUGGAAGUCGAUAGCCUAUCCUGCAAGAUAAAGAGCCUAUCAUUAAGAGAUUGAGUGGGAGUCAAGAGCAAAGCUUUGAACUGUUCUUCCUGUACCACAGCCCUAAGUGUCUCCAAGUGCAAGGAACGUGUCUCCGUGAAGGAUCACCUGGGCGUCCCUGUGAGAGCAAAGAAAAGGAGACAAGGGUUGCGAUUCCCGUUGAGAGCUGUGCACAGACAUGUGAAACGGGGAGUCUGAGUGUCCUGGUACAGACACACAGCCUACCCUAAUACUGCUGACUCCUCCGACCAAAUGCACCUGCAUAUGAGAGCACAGCCAUCCAAACGAAUCUACCCAAUCCAGUCCAUGUUAGGUUCGGAGGCUCAUCAUUUGAAGACGGAAAAGUGGUGCUGGUGAACCCUUGUACACAUAACCAGGCCUCUAUCCCAUAUAGAGGCAGGAGGACAGUCUCACCAGUAAGGAGGACCAGCCAUGUCUGGUACUAUAAGCAAUGUUCCUAAUAACAGUACUUUGUACCACUCAGACAAGAGCCUCACUGACACAGACCUGUGCAUAUGGAGCGUGGCUAUGGUCCUAAUAAUGGUUGUGCUGUCACUUGUCUGCUGCUUGUGUUACAUAUAUGUACUAUGUGCAAGGAAGACAAGAUACACCAUACUGCCUUUGAUUUCGGUGUGAUUCUAUUAUGUGCAUGUGAUGUUACUCAGUUGACCUGCUAAUAAACAG
rnacentral:lncRNA from 1 species